rnacentral:rRNA from 1 species
GGUCCUUUCGGGACAGGGAGACAGUGGUGCAUGGUUGUCGUCAGCUCGUGUCGUGAGAUGUUGGGUUAAGUCCCGCAACGAGCGCAACCCUUUGUGUUUAGUUGCCAACAGGUUUAAGCUGUGCACUCUAAACAGACUGCCGUGGAUAACACGGAGGAAGGUGGGGAUGACGUCAAAUCAUCAUGCCCCUUAUGAUCUGGGCUACACACGUGCUACAAUGGUCGGUACAACGGGCAGCGAAAGAGUAAUCUGGAGCGAAUCCUAAAAAGCCGAUCCCAGUUCGGAUUGUGGGCUGAAACUCGCCCACAUGAAGUUGGAGUUGCUAGUAAUCGCGAAUCAGAAUGUCGCGGUGAAUGCGUUCCCGGGUCCUU